CCUACGGGAGGCAGCAGUGGGGAAUAUUGCACAAUGGGGGAAACCCUGAUGUAGCGACGCCGCGGGAGUGAAGAAGUAUUUCGGUAUGUAAAGCUCUAUCAGCAGGGAAGAAAAUGACGGUACCUGAUUAAGAAGCCCCGGCUAACUACGUGCCAGCAGCCGCGGUAAUACGUAGGGGGCAAGCGUUAUCCGGAUUUACUGGGUGGAAAGGGAGCGUAGACGGCAGCACAAGUCUGGAGUGAAAUGCCGGGGCUUAACCCCGGAACUGCUUUGGAAACUGUGCAGCUAGAGUGCAGGAGAGAUGAGUGGAAUUCCUAGUGUAGCGGUGAAAUGCGUAGAUAUUAGGAGGAACACCAGUGGCGAAGGCGGCUUACUGGACUGUAACUGACGUUGAGGCUCGAAAGCGUGGGGAGCAAACAGGAUUAGAUACCCGAGUAGUC
rnacentral:rRNA from 1 species